GCUUUACAGAGGACAAACUGCACACCUUCUCUUUCUUCUUGUCCACGGCCUCAUUCCCUUCACAUGCCACAGAUUGCUCAGGCAUCUCCUGCUGAGUGGAGUCUUCCGUCUUCAACUUUUUGGGUGACAUUGAAUUGACCAUAUUUCUCACCCUUUGCACAUCUACAAUGGUCUGGUGUUGCAUGGUGCAGAAAUGAGCGCAGGCAUAUUCCAGCAGAGCACCAAAGAUGAAGGUGAAACAGAUGCCGAGAUAGACGUCAAUAGCCUUAAUGAAGCAGUUGGCAUUAGGAAGUGAGGUCCUGGCUCCCAUCAUUAGUGUGGUCAUGGUGCGAGCUGGUACGGAGGACUGACUGAUCCAGAAAGACACCCAUGACAGAACCACCAGCAAUGUUGAGGGCACAUACGUCUCCAGAAUGAAGAACAGCACAUUUCUACGCAAAGCAAAGUAGAGCACUAGCUUCGGGAUACUUGGUGAGGUCCAUGUUGCAGGCGAUGGUUGCUGUUAUGCUGUGGAGAAAAGGAGGAAUAUUGAUUGAACCAUUUCUGUAGGAAGAUGGAAAGCUGCCGGAGAGGGACAGUGGACCGGCUUUAAUCAUACCCCUGCGGAUUGACCGGCUCUCCAUGAUUAAAGCGGACUCCUCACCAUCCUCAGGCUCUAAGCCCACACAACAUUGUAAACAGAGGCGCUGGAUUCAAACUGACGGCUAAAUGAAUGUUUGACAGCACAGAGACACACAGCUGACACACAUCCUGAAAAAAUAAACAAUAAACCAAUAUCAAGGUCAUUUAACCACAUGGUGACAGAAGAGCUGAACUGGAUUCAUCAGAGAAUCCACCUUCAAUGAGUAGAGAUGGAGUCUGAGGGAAAUGCCACAGAGAACAGCGAACACGGAGCCUCAGCUGGCCUAGAUUAUAUCUUGAAGCAGUUGGAUUUAAUGUCAGAAUUUAUGGACCAAUUGGAAGGUAAACUAUGGUCGAAGUUUUUUUUUUUUUCUUUUUGUUAACAUAAUUCAGUGACUGUUAGUGACAGUUGGACCUAAUAGUCCCAGCCUUACUUUCUUUAAUAUUUAACCUUAUGAAAUGUAAUAAUAAUGUACAAUUUGGAAAGUCAUCACCUCACACUCAUGUUUUGACAAUUCUGAAAUGUACUGGCAGUUUAAUAGUUCCUCUUUUUAGAGCUGGCAGAAAUUCUUCUGGUGGUUUUCAAAUGGGUAUUACAUGAACAAAUUUAAAAGAAAAUGUGCCAUCCUUGCCAGGGGUGGCAGUUAACGAGGAGUCAGAGCUAAGACAUUAAUCUGUGCCCGCCGUCAUUGCUAACACAAAUAUAUUAGCACACAGAACAUCCCCCAAAUCCUCCAAUCUGUCAAUAAUGCAUUUUAUUGUGUCAUAGAGACAUUAAGUUUGGCAAGAAAACAUGCUGGCUGCAUCUAUUGCUGAGCCCUGCAUAUCCAGUUAAGCAUGAGCAUCUUUGUAUAUUUCAACAGCUACUUGCAUCUGUGUUGUCGGCUCUUUGUGUGGAUUAUCAAGCCCUACAAUAGCCGUAUUUUAGAUUGAUUACUGUAAAAUGAUAAUGAACUAAUAGAUUUUUUUUUUUUUUUGAUGUACGUUAACAGUAACCUUUGCAUAAUACAUAACAGAAUGCUUCUAUUUAUAUACUUUGAUUACAGUAAACAUAACCUGUUUGUGCUGGUUAUGUUUCAGUCAGUCAAAAUGGAAUAAGAGGGUCUCUUCUUGUGUUCUUCCUGCUGUAUGUUCAACCAUUAUACCCUUUGUUUUCAGUGAAGACCCAGCUGCUGCGGUGUAACCUGACCGUGUGCUUCACACACCCUGAAAAAAUGGCGUGCCUCCAGACUGACGUGGAAACCCCAACGUGGUUAAACCGUGCACAGAUGAUGGAAGACUAAAUAUGUGACUCAAAGAAGUACACUUGUAAGGUGGAGUUAUAAUAUACUUAAAAAGCACAAUUUAAUAGGCAACAUUAAGACAAAACACUAAAACCAUUAGGAAUAUUUAAGUUAAAACAGACAAAUGUACAGUUUAAGAGUUAAGUAAAGUUGCCUCUAGCUAACAUUGAGUGUAAGAAUGCCUCUUGAUUUUAACAUUGAAAGUGUUUAAAAAUGUAUCUUUAAUAUAAAAAGUGUAGACAGUCCUGUCUGAUUGAAUCAAACUAAAUAUGAUUUAUUAAUUUA